rnacentral:rRNA from 1 species
GAUGAACGCUGGCGGCGUGCUUAACACAUGCAAGUCGAACGGGAAACCUUUUAUUGAAGCUUCGGCAGAUUUAGCUGGUUUCUAGUGGCGGACGGGUGAGUAACGCGUGGGUAACCUGCCCUAUACAGGGGGAUAACAACCAGAAAUGGUUGCUAAUACCGCAUAAGCGCACAGGGCCGCAUGGUCCGGUGUGAAAAACUCCGGUGGUAUAGGAUGGACCCGCGUUGGAUUAGCCAGUUGGCAGGGUAACGGCCUACCAAAGCGACGAUCCAUAGCCGGCCUGAGAGGGUAAACGGCCACAUUGGGACUGAGACACGGCCCAGACUCCUACGGGAGGCAGCAGUGGGGAAUAUUGCACAAUGGGGGAAACCCUGAUGCAGCGACGCCGCGUGAAGGAAGAAGUAUCUCGGUAUGUAAACUUCUAUCAGCAGGGAAGAUAGUGACGGUACCUGACGAAGAAGCCCCGGCUAACUACGUG